UGUGUGUUCGGCGGCCAUGUCUCCGCCGGCUGCUUCCGACGCCGCAAGAAAGGUUCCGGGCCAAGUCCGAGGGACGUAGGAGAGCGGGAAGGGUCGGCCGCGGUGCUCGGGUGUGGAGCGUGGCUCUUAGUCCCCAGGGCGCGUACUCCUCAAGUUAUUUCGUCCUGAGGCCCUUCGGGCAGGGGUCAGCCCCGUGUGACCGCAUUCCGUAACCGAGGCUCCGAUCGCGGGAGGCGGGUGGCGUUCGUCCGCAUCUCCGAAACGUGGCGACCACGACAUCCCAAAUACUGGAGUACCAACGGCGGCAGAUACCAGUGCUUCCCGGCACGCCCUGGUCAUCAUUCGUGAUCACCGGCCCCCUCGACCUCCGCCAGCCGCAGGGCUGGGGAAAUGUCCCUGUUAGGUUUAUUUCGGGAUGAGCCUGAGCAGCUUGUCCCAUGUAUCCACGCGUGUUUUUCUCCUCUGCGAGGUGGGCUGCUCAUGAACUUGGCCUGUUGUUCGGAUGCAGUACUUGUCUUGUGGGAUAGUUAAGCGAGGAGUAAUGUGAUCCGAGGGAUGUUUAAGGAGGAAAAGAAGGACGGUGUGAAGUAGGAUUGGUUUAAGGAGUAGAAAGCGGGUAGAUCACUGCAGUAAGCCCGUGGAGAGCUGAGGAAGACCAGACCCAAGGCGAGGACAGAGGGAAAGAGAGAGAGACAUCGAGAGAGGGAACACAAGCAAGGGGAGAGGCAGAGGGAGAAGCAGGCUUCCUGCUGAGCAGGGAGCCCAACACGGGGCUUGAUCCCAGGACCAGGAGAUCAUGACCUGAGCCAAAGGCAGAUGCUUAACAACUGAGCCACCCAGGAAUGACCUCUCCUCCACUGAAUGCAGUUUUGAUGGGCAGACAUAUCUUGACUCCUGCCUCCCACCGUGGAAUCUGGAGGGGACAGAGCCUUCCAGCUACAGCUGUGACAUGGGCCUGGGACCUGUGCUGGGCCAGUGAGAAAACUCCCCCUGGCUGUUGCCUCACGAGGGAGUGAAGGUGGCUCUUCACAGCCACAGUGAAGCCCUUGGCAGACACCUGCAGAUCUACUGUGGCUCCUAUCCACUGAGUCUGUGGGCCCAUAAGAGCUUUCCAGGACCUGUUUCCUUUCUCUUGAAUCAGCCAUUCCAUUCAUUUUCUUAAAUUGAAAGAAAAAUAGAUGUUCACAGUAGAUUAACAAAAGAAUAACAGAAAGGCAAUACACUGAAGUUGGAUUUCUCUCCCCAGGAAAUCUACUGUUACCAGUUUGAGGUGUCUCCUUACAAACCUCUUUCUAGCCAUAUACACAGAAAGAGAUGGACUAGAUUUCUAGAGAAUUUGGGAUUAUGGGAAAUGGAAGGGAUAUAUUACCCCAAAAAGGGAUCAUAGGAAAUAUAUAUUUUUUAAAUUUUUAAAUUUUUUAAUAAACAUAUAAUGUAUUUUUA